rnacentral:misc_RNA from 1 species
GUAGGUGAACCUGCGGAAGGAUCAUUAAUCCAGGCUCGAAUCCCUCGGCGGCGCAAGUCGCAGGGGGGCUAGGGCCGCCUUUAUAACCACCCUUUGCCUAUGUGUACCCCUAUCGCUUCCUCGGCGGGCUUGCCCGUCGCUAGGAACCAAUCAAACCCUUUGCAUUAUACAUGAAAAUUUCCGAUACAAACCAAAAUUAUUACAACUUUUAACAAUGGAUCUCUUGGUUCUG